AACGAACGCUGGCGGCAUGCCUAACACAUGCAAGUCGAACGAGACCUUCGGGUCUAGUGGCGCACGGGUGCGUAACGCGUGGGAAUCUGCCCUUGGGUUCGGAAUAACAGUUGGAAACGACUGCUAAUACCGGAUGAUGACGUAAGUCCAAAGAUUUAUCGCCCAGGGAUGUGCCCGCGUAGGAUUAGCUAGUUGGUGGGGUAAAGGCCUACCAAGGCGACGAUCCUUAGCUGGUCUGAGAGGAUGAUCAGCCACACUGGGACUGAGACACGGCCCAGACUCCUACGGGAGGCAGCAGUGGGGAAUAUUGGACAAUGGGCGAAAGCCUGAUCCAGCAAUGCCGCGUGAGUGAUGAAGGCCUUAGGGUUGUAAAACUCUUUUACCCGGGAUGAUAAUGACAGUACCGGGAGAAUAAGCCCCGGCUAACUCCGUG
rnacentral:rRNA from 1 species